GACGUAGGGGGCGAGCGUUGUCCGGAUUUAUUGGGCGUAAAGCGUGCGUAGGCGGCUGCGCAAGUCGGGUGUGAAACCCCGGGGCUCAACCCCGGAACUGCAUCCGAUACUGCGUGGCUAGAGGUAGGUAGGGGAGAUCGGAAUUCCUGGUGUAGCGGUGGAAUGCGCAGAUAUCAGGAAGAACACCCGUGGCGAAGGCGGCUCUCUGGGACGGUACUGACGCUGAGACGCGAAAGCGUGGGGAGCGAACAGG
rnacentral:rRNA from 1 species